rnacentral:rRNA from 1 species
AGUGAACGCUGGCGGUAGGCCUAACACAUGCAAGUCGAACGGCAGCACAGUAAGAGCUUGCUCUUACGGGUGGCGAGUGGCGGACGGGUGAGGAAUACAUCGGAAUCUACUUUUUCGUGGGUGAUAACGUAGGGAAACUUACGCUAAUACCGCAUACGACCUACGGGUGAAAGCAGGGGAUCUUCGGACCUUGCGCGAUUGAAUGAGCCGAUGUCGGAUUAGCUAGUUGGCGGGGUAAAGGCCCACCAAGGCGACGAUCCGUAGCUGGUCUGAGAGGAUGAUAAGCCACACUGGAACUGAGACACGGUCCAGACUCCUACGGGAGGCAGCAGUGGGGAAUAUUGGACAAUGGGCGCAAGCCUGAUCCAGCCAUACCGCGUGGGUGAAGAAGGCCUUCGGGUUGUAAAGCCCUUUUGUUGGGAAAGAAAAGCAGCAGGUUAAUACCCCGCUGUUCUGACGGUACCCAAAGAAUAAGCACCGGCUAACUUCGUG